rnacentral:lncRNA from 1 species
CUGCCAAUAGGGUGGAAGGGCUGGGCCCGACCCCCUUCCCGGCCAGAGGCGGGACCUAGGUCCAGCCCAGGCGUGUGCUGGUGGCCCCGCCGCGCCCAGCGUGGGCGGGCGAGCGGGGCGUCCGGCCUCAUCGAGACGUGCUGGCGGGAGCCUGCGGGGAGAAAGUGGGCAGCUUCAGUGGUGGGCGGAUGGGGACCGGCCGCUCCCGCGCCCCCUCUGGAGCCCAGGCGCUCGCUCUCACCAGUGUGAAGGCAUCGUAGGCCUGCGCCAGCUCCUCCGUGCGGUACUGCUCUAGCACCACCACGCCCUGUAGGCCCGCGCUGCGACGGCGCGCACAGCCCUCGCAGUGCACCAGGCAGGGGGAAGAGCUUGCACACUUACGUCGCAUUCGUUGCAGUAGUAGGCAGGCUCGUCUUUGACACGGCCUUGGUAAGCGAUCUUCUUCCCUGCCCGCACCAGGCUCUCCCGCUGUACCUGACAGUGCUUCAUUGACUGCAGGAGGCAGAACCUGAGCAAGACCCAAAGGGUGGGUGUUGAGACAAGGCUCCAGCGGGGUGCCAAGGCUGGAGGAUGGCAGAUGGGCAGGGGUGGAGCUCCAGAGACCCUAGCCCCACGGACUUCCCUGGGCAACCCUCCCUUUCUUUUCGUUUCUGAGUUGCAUUUCCCGUCUUGAAUAUGUCACACUUGACAUUUCAAGGUUUUGUGUGUGUGUUUGGACCACAGGAAACAACGGCUAUGAGAUGAGAGCAGGGCUUCUGUCAUGUCCCCAGCACAGUGACACUUAAGGUCUUAAGGACAUGCUGCAGACGCAGGGGAAGAAUGGGGAGCCAGGAAGAACAAGGGUGGGGAACAAGCCAGGUGGGACGGGCUGGUAACCAAACAGGGGUCUCACUUGAUCAUCUUGAACAAGUCAGGAUCGCUGAUCUUGACCGUUCGAGCGACGUUCCAGGACACAUGAAUCAUGGGCACAAUGGACUUGACGUUCUUCACCUCGUUCCACUCAUAUCGCUCCAGGGCCAGCUGGUACUGAUAGGCUGUAGGCCAGAGGAAGUCAUGCAGGGGUCUCAACCAGCCCCCGGCCCCUUCUUCCCUCAGACUCUGAUUCUCCAGACCCAGUUUUCCCCUCCAGGGUUCGCUCCUCAUACGUACCCCAUGAUGACCCGACCCCAGCCUCUUACCGGUGAGGGGCCCCACGUUCCAGGCAAUGUUGUUGCACCAGCCGGUAGCCUGCACCCAAUGUACAGUCCCUGCAUUAAUCCACACAAGGUCUCCAGGGCGCUGCACGAAGCGGUAAACAGGAAUAUUGGACGCAUAGAGGUCAUCCAAGAUUGGCCACCAGGAACCAGUCAAGUAGUCCACACCAUGCCUGUGGAGAGGGCAGUCACAGGGUCAGGUGGGAAACCCAAGGACCCGAGGUGAUAGGGUGACUUGCAAGGGGUGAUGCGCACCGGUCGCAGAAGGCGCUGAUGGUCUCCCAAUAGUGCUCAUGUACCGCGAACCACUCGCAGUCCCCAGGGCCAAUGUUGAUGUUGACUGAGCAGAAAUUGUUAUUCUCUUGGUGGCCUGCAGAGGGAGAUAGAACGUCACAGAAGGUCUGAUGCAGGCGAGCAAGGAGCGACAACCACGCCCUUUGCCCUCAUUGGCUAAGGCCUAAGAGUGCGCGCAGCCAGCACAGUACGCAUGCGCAGUGGAAAGCACACCUGGCGUUCGGCUGCCAGGGACCUUCAUGUAUAGCUGCACGGUGUUCAUGCCCAGGAUGGUGUGGCCCACGUGGCUGAGCAUGUUGCCUGUGGAUGUUACCCGCAUGAAGGCGGGCAGUUUCAGCAGCUCCUGUAGCUGUGGCUUCCACCUGUGGACACAGGAAUGCCGACGAAAUUAAGAGGGUGUCCCAGACCAGUACCUAGCAGGGUUGCAUCCCAGUUUCACUGGUCUAGCCUCACUGACCUCUUGGCAUCAGACAGGUCGAUGUUAGUGCCAAACUUGAUGAUGUGAUGGUUCUUGGGGUCCGGUGCACUGCUGCUGGGGCAAAAAUCACAGACAGGUUGAUGGCGAGCCAAGGGAGGAGAGAGAGAGAAGCAGGGAGGGACAAACUUGUACUUCACCUGGGAGAGGUUCCUGUAGUGCUGUCUGGUUCCUCGGAUUCCUCAUCCUCACUCUCCCUCUCCUCCUGCUUGGUCACACAGGUACGUGGGUCAGUGACUUCCUGAAGCCCUGACCCAGUAAGCCCAGCACCCUUACUCCCUCUUGUGCCUGAUCCUCACCUGCAGUGACUCCUGGAAGGACGAGGCCUGGUACUGUGCGUAUUUAGCGAUGGUGGUGUGGGAACGGGAGCUCUCACAGGGCCAGAUUUGUCUGGUACCUGUCAGGUCCCAGUUCUCGUCUGAGGGCUGCUGUACUUGGGUACGGACCUCCACCGUAUGUUCACCGCUCGCCUCCACCAGAGUCUUGGUGGAGAAAAGGCCUAAGUCUGAAAGGAGUGCCAAACAAGAUGUCAGUCAGGUCAGAGGCUCAGCUCACCCCUUUCCUUCCAGGCCAGGGCUCUGACGACGUGGACAGAGAUUUGGCAGAAUUCAGCACCAAGGAAUGGGCACGAAUCACAAUCCUAGGAAGCUGACGAGGCUGCCUCCUUCUCAGCCCCUUUCUGCAACUACUUCAUGCCUCAGGUCUCUCGCCUAGAAUUCUUAGGCAUUCAUAUGCCCACAUGCUAGAAAACCAAUGAAUGGCUCAAGUGAAAGAUUUAGUCGAGCUUCGAGUACCUCCCAAAUGACUCCCUGGGAGGAGAGAAUGUCCAGGUAUAAAGGACACGGAAUUGAUUUUUAUGUUUCUUCAUUGUUUCCUCUGGUUUUA